AGCGCAAUAAAUACAAAGUCGAAGACAGCAAGUCCCGCAGCAUGGGCGGGUUAAUCGUCGGAAAGACGGCUUGCCGAGGCAGAGAGGAAGUAUAUCUAUAAACUUCUCUUACUCGAGAGAAGUUUUUUUUAUUGCUAU
rfam:Elusimicrobia bacterium RIFOXYA12_FTLL_49_49 rifixya3_full_scaffold_2227, whole genome shotgun sequence.